UGUGUGACUGCGAGCGGCGG
rnacentral:misc_RNA from 1 species